rnacentral:rRNA from 1 species
GACGGGGGGUCCAAGCGUUGUUCGGAAUUAUUGGGCGUAAAGCGUGUGUCGGUGGCUUUGAAAGUUGGAUGUGAAAGCCUUGGGCUUAACCCAAGAAGUGCAUUCAAAACUACAAAACUUGAGUAUGGAAGAGGGUCGUGGAAUUCCUGGUGUAGUGGUGAAAUACGUAGAUAUCAGGAGGAACACCGGCGGCGAAGGCGGCGACCUGGUCCUAUACUGACACUCAAACACGAAAGCGUGGGGAUCAAACAGG